rnacentral:rRNA from 1 species
AAAGUGGGGCGUAAGGAACCGGUGGUUCCGAAGGGAAGGGCUAUCGCGCAACGGAUAAAAGCUACCCCGGGGAUAACAGGCUUAUCUCACCCAAGAGUCCACAUCGACGGGGAGGUUUGUCACCUCGAUGUCGGCUCAUCGCAUCCUGUGGCUGUAGUCGGUCCCAAGGGUUGGGCUGUUCGCCCAUUAAAGCGGUACGCGAGCUGGGUUCAGAAAGUCGUGAGACAGUUCGGUCCCUAUCCGUCGCUGGCGUAGGAAAUUUGAGAGGAGCUGUCCUUAGUACGAGAGGACCGGGAUGGAAGCACCGCUGGUGUACCAGUUGUUCCGACAGGAGCACAGCUGGGUAGCUAUGUGAGGAAGGGAUAAAAC